rnacentral:misc_RNA from 1 species
AACGCAUCUUGCGCUCCCUGGUAUUCCGAGGAGCAUGCCUGUUUGAGUGUCAUCUAAAUCCUCAAACCACAUUGAUUCUUUCGGUGUGGCUUUGGAAGUGGGGGUAAUGUUUGCAGGUUUUAUCUUAAGUCUGCUCCCCUGAAAUGCAUUAGUGGUAUCUGAGCAGAAGGAACUACUACAGGUGUGAUAAUUUAUCUAUGCCUUAGUAUACUGCAUAAAACAGAUUACACUGCUUAUAACAAACUUUAUUUCUUUUUUUUGGAGACCUCAAAUCAGGUAGGACUACCCGCUGAACUUAA